GAAAAGGGCUUAAUGCAGCUUGCUGCUUCUAUAUAUCUUACACCUGUGAACUAUUGCCUUCGGGCCAAACCAAACAUAAUGUAACGAAUGUAAACUAUUAUAACAAAAUAUAACUUUCAACAACGGAUCUCUUGGCUCUCACAUCGAUGAAGAACGCAGCGAAAUGCGAUAAGUAAUGUGAAUUGCAGAAUUCAGUGAAUCAUCGAAUCUUUGAACGCAAAUUGCGCCCUUUGGUAUUCCGAAGGGCAUGCCUGUUUGAGUGUCUUAUAAACCUCACCCUUACUGUUUGUUCAGUAAGCGGUGCUUUGGGUGCUGCCAUUGGCUCGCCUUAAAUCUCUAAGUGGAAUGCGUUAUAAGUUUUCGCAGCCCUCCACUCUAAUACACUUUAUACUCUGACCUCAAAUCAGGUAGGACUACCCGCUGAACUUAAGCAUAUCAAAAGUCCGGAGGAAAGGAUCUUUAUAAAAUGAACUGCUGCUUCUAUAUAUCUUACACCUGUGAACUAUUGCCUUCGGGCCAAACCAAACAUAAUGUAACGAAUGUAAACUAUUAUAACAAAAUAUAACUUUCACAACGGAUCUCUUGGCUCUCACAUCGAUGAAGAACGCAGCGAAAUGCGAUAAGUAAUGUGAAUUGCAGAAUUCGUGAAUCAUCGAAUCUUUGAACGCAAAUUGCGCCUUUGGUAUUCGAAGGGCAUGCUGUUUGAGUGUCUUAUAAACUCACCUUACUGUUUGUUCGUAAGCGGUGCUUUGGGUGCUGCAUUGGCUCGCUUAAAUCUCUAGUGGAAAUGCGUUAUAAGUUUUCCAGCUCACUUCUAAUAAACUUUUAUUACUUGGAACUAAUCACGGGAGGACUAUACGCCUGAACUUAAGCAUAUUCAUAAAACGCGGGAGGAAAAA
rnacentral:rRNA from 1 species